UUUGCAGAUGCACAAGUCUGUGGCAAGGCUGCUCCUCCUGCAGGGGCAAAAUAAUCGCUGUGGAGUUUUACUUUGAUUUGUCUGAGCUAGUUUUGGACUCUACAGACAGGUCUUGGGCAAGGACAAGGAGGCUCUGGUGGGGUCUUCACCGCAUUCUGGCAGGACUUGCAGCUGGCCUUCAGAGAGCACCGUGCUGCUGGACAGUGCCCACAUGAGUUGCUGGGAAGGCUCCAGGGGGGCAGGGGCACCGGCUGCAGAGGGCUGGGCACAGGACGUUCAGUGGGGCUUUCCUUCUGCAGGCGUUAUUUACAGUUGGUAUUAACGGAUAUGUCCUGUUUGCAGCUGGAAGUAGGCAGCUCGCUGAGUGCAUUUCUCCGCCCUGCAUCGACGGGUUUGUUGACCUUGUGACCUGCCCACGGCAUGUUGAAGACUGACCGAGAUGCAAAUGGAAGCAUAGGCUGGGUUUGGUGUUUUGUUUGGAGGCCUUGUGAGGGUACAAGGAUUGUGUGGCUUUGCAUCACAGACACAUAUCAUUUUUCAGAAGUGCUGCUGCAUUGCAAAUAGGAGUAUCUCCUUAUGAGCCAAAGAAAAUAAGAUUCAGCAAAUAAACCUCUCCAGAACAAGAAAGCCAUCCUGAAUGGUUGUCCAUGUGUUGAACUGCUGCAGUGUCAUAUGCCACUCUCUGAUACUGGGAAAAGACGAGGUCUGUUUGAAAUGCAGACGUAUGUGGCCUGGUGGAGGCUGCAUGGAUUUCAGCGGGAGCCUGAAGUGCAUCCAGAUCUUGUGGUGCUUGAGGUGAGGAAGAUGCAGCAAAAUCAGUGGUAUCUCCUCUUAGGGAUGUGGAUCCUUGCACUGAGGAAGAACUCCUGGUUGAACAAAGAAUAGAAAUCAGCUGAAGUCAGCCUGAAGCAGAACAGCUUUCUGCAAAGCAAACCAAGAACUACGCCCAGAUUUAUUUGUUCUCCCUCAAACCAAACAUUUUACAUAUUCUACACUGACAACUCAUCUCCUCAUCAUUUCUAGAUUAUUUAACCCUAUAUUUCUUUUUUUUUUCUUUUUCUGUUUGUAAAUUAGGUCCCAUUCUCAAUCAACUGCAUUUUCAGAAGUUGGAGUAAAAGUGUUAUGUUUUGAUAAAGGUGAAUAAAUACUGAACUUUUCUAAAUGGUAUAAUUUUCAGUUUGGGUAAUGCUGGAAAACAAAUAGUUGUGAUAUCUUAAAAAUCUUCCUAAGCUUUUUUUUUUUUUUUCUUCAGACACAGUUUGAUGAAUUUACUCGUGACUUUUGAAUAGUUUUUGUCCCUGCACUACUUCUUUUUUUCAGUGAAGUGAUGAUUAUUUUGAAUGUUUUAUCCAUCUGUUCCAGCCACUUACUUGCCUCAUGCAAUGCUGAAAGCCACUUAAAUGUUCUCUGUGGUUCUUUGUUUCCUGGAUGUAAUGGAGAGCAAGGGAAGAGAAAACAUCUUACUUGAAGAGAUAAGUCUUAGUUACUAUUUGUUUCCUGCAAAAGCUUAGCCUACACAUACCCACUGAACCAUUCCUACUCGCAUACACAGUUCCCAGCUCAAUUGUUAGCGCUCCUGCUGCACAGUGCUUUGGAAGACGCUCAGAGAGUCUGUUGAUCUUCAGGGAAACCCCCUAGAUUUCCUUUCUUAUUAUUCAUGGGGAUUUCCCAGUCUGAUGCAGAAAAACAAGGAUCAAAGUGUUUUACAUGUUGAUGGAUGUCUCCGGCUUCUUCACUGUAUUUAAAAGCUUAAGCAAAUGAGUGGCCAUAAAUAGAAUUAUUAAAGUGAUAGAAGUGGGAGGAACACAAGCAGAAAGUAAUAUUUUGUAUAUUUUUCAAAAUGUGUUGUUAGACUAGCAUUCAUAACAGAGCUUAACACACUGGUAUUUACUGUGCUCCAGGGAGUGAUGGAGAAAAAGGAAUGGAAAACAGUAAUUUUGUAACUGUACUUUCUAUAGCAAUAGGAAAGAAAAAAAUACAUUUAUACAUUUACCACCAAAGUGUGAUGUGGAUGAGCAUGACCACAUCUCCAAAAGUAAGGAAGUGUGUAGCACCACACGGCAUUUACUCCCUGCUAACUUCAAACUUGGCCUUCUUCUUUUAUAUAUAUAUAUAUGUGUCUUAUCAUAUGUUGAUAUCAAGUUAAAAAAAAUCCUUUUGCAUGCAUGCAUAAUUGGUCAUAAUCAUUAUCUUUCAGUUUUUCAGCAGUAUAAGGAAGUUUGUGGUCAAUCUGAAAACCAUGCAAAACCCCACAGAAGCACUAAGUUUUCCACUAAGCACUAUGAGCAAAAAGUUUAUGUCUGCAGACUAUAUUAGACUUCAUUAUUAUAGCAGAGGAAAAUAUCUGCACUUCUUUCAAGCACUCAUCAAUAGACCUUUAUGAUCAUAAUUCGUGUUUUUAUCUUUCAGCAAAACAGCAAAACAGCCUGAAUUAAAAGUUCAAUAAUUUUGUAUUAACCAUUUUGUGCUCAGAUUUUCUCAUUGAUUCUGCCUUUAUAACCUCUUUAUUUUUUAUAACCUCUUUUAUUUUCAUAUUUUGAUCAACCUUUUCUUCCCCUGAACAGCACACAAACAUUUAUAAUCACAUCCAACUUUUUAAAAGACAAGGGAUUUUAAGAUGAAAGAAAGAUAGCAACUUUCACUCUAGAUGGAAAUCCAUCCUCAUAAGGCCUGGGAUUCAUCACAGUCUGCUUGAAAUAUGUUAAAUGUUAGAGAGGAAAUGCUCACUUAUCUACUUAAGAAUAAAACUAGCAAAUAUUAAAUGACUAAUUGUUGGCAAAUUUUGAGAACAAUGGGCUAAGUUACCCUUAGUAAAUCAGACUAGAAUGGAGUUAAUCAUAGUAUGAACUUUUUCUCCUUAUGUUUGAGUUCUGAGUUCUCUAUCUUGAAAUAAGAUUAAAGAUCUGUGCUAAGGUAUUAGUCGAAUUAUGCAGGAAGUAAUUGUAAAUGUAUAUAUAGAAUGUGAAAGAAUAACACUCAUUUAUUAUUUUAUUUAGCUGCUAAAAAAAUACUUGCCCAUGCACUUGCCUAUGACUUUUCCUGUUUGGCUCAAUACAGUCUGUUGGCCCCGUCUGUGCACUUUUGAAUACCUCACAUUGAUUCCUGCAGACACAGGGCAAAUCAGUCUGACUCUGGCUAGGUUACCUGUUGGUGGAGGCUUGUGCCAAGACUAUAACUCCAAAUAUCAGUUCUAAGAGUGCCUGGAAGUGAUCACAAAUCUCUUGGUGAAAGAUGUA